UACAGAGGUCCCAAGCGUUGUUCGGAUUUACUGGGCGUAAAGGGCGGGUAGGCGGCCACCGCAAGUCAGUUGUGAAAUCUCCGGGCUUAACUCGGAACGGUCAACUGAUACUGCGCGGCUAGAGUGCAGAAGGGGCAACUGGAAUUCUCGGCGUAGCGGUGAAAUGCGUAGAUAUCGAGAGGAACACCUGCGGCGAAGGCGGGUUGCUGGGCUGACACUGACGCUGAUGCGCGAAAGCCAGGGGAGCGAACGGG
rnacentral:rRNA from 1 species